CCUACGGGUGACAGCAGUGAGGAAUAUUGGUCAAUGGGCGCGAGCCUGAACCAGCCAAGUCGCGUGAAGGAAGACGGUCCUAUGGAUUGUAAACUUCUUUUGUAAGGGAGCAAAAGAAGCCACGAGUGGCGUUCCGAGAGUACUUUAAGAAUAAGGAUCGGCUAACUCCGUGCCAGCAGCCGCGGUAAUACGGAGGAUCCGAGCGUUAUCCGGAUUUGUGGGGUUAAAGGGGUGGGCAGGCGGAAGAGAAAGUCAGCGGUAAAAUUCAGGGGCUCAACCUGUACGAGCCGUUGAAACUGGUGUUCUUGAGUGAUGGAGAGGUCGGCGGAAUGCCUGGUGUAGCGGUGAAAUGCGUAGAUAUAAGGAAGAACACCAGUGGCGAAGGCGGCCUCCUGGCCCUUAACUGACGCUGAGGCACGAAAGCGUGGGGAUCAAACAGGAUUAGAUACCCCAGUAGUC
rnacentral:rRNA from 1 species